UCGUUAAAAAAUCCUCCAAAG
rnacentral:piRNA from 1 species